UACGAGGGGGCGAGCGUUGUUCGGAAUUAUUGGGCGUAAAGGGUGCGUAGGCGGCCUGACAAGUCUGAUGUGAAAUCCCUGGCUCAACCCAGGGCCUGCAUCGGAAACUGUCGGGCUUGAGUAUGGGAGAGGUGAGUGGAAUUUCCGGUGUAGCGGUGAAAUGCGUAGAUAUCGGAAGGAACACCUGUGGCGAAAGCGGCUCACUGGACCAUUACUGACGCUGAGGCACG
rnacentral:rRNA from 1 species